rnacentral:rRNA from 1 species
GAUGAACGCUGGCGGCGUGCCUAAUACAUGCAAGUCGAGCGAACAGAUGAGGAGCUUGCUCCUCUGACGUUAGCGGCGGACGGGUGUGUAACACGUGGAUAACCUACCUAUAAGACUGGGAUAACUUCGGGAAACCGGAGCUAAUACCGGAUAAUAUAUUGAACCGCAUGGUUCAAUAGUGAAAGACGGUUUUGCUGUCACUUAUAGAUGGAUCCGCGCCGCAUUAGCUAGUUGGUAAGGUAACGGCUUACCAAGGCAACGAAGCGUAGCCGACCUGAGAGGGUGAUCGGCCACACUGGAACUGAGACACGGUCCAGACUCCUACGGGAGGCAGCAGUAGGGAAUCUUCCGCAAUGGGCGAAAGCCUGACGGAGCAACGCCGCGUGAGUGAUGAAGGUCUUCGGAUCGUAAAACUCUGUUAUUAGGGAAGAACAAAUGUGUAAGUAACUAUGCACGUCUUGACGGUACCUAAUCAGAAAGCCACGGCUAACUACGUG